rnacentral:sRNA from 1 species
UUUAAAUUUAAAUGUCUAUGUUAACAACACAAAGAGGAUUAGUUCCAGUAGGUGCACUAGUUAAAAAUGUUCUGAUUAACAAGUCUAAGGCCUCCUCAGGUCUAAUACUGGCCAUGUGUGUUGUCUUCUUCAGACUUAGGAGAAGUCAAUCAACUACAUUCAACCCAGAUGACAUGUCUGAGCCUGAAUUCAAAAGAGGAGGGACAAGGGCAACCGCGGGGCCCCGAUUAGGUUGGUCUCGAGACUUGGGACAGUCUAACAGUGACUUGGAUAUGCCAUUUGCCAAGUGGACCAAGGAGCAGGUUUGCAAUUGGCUGAUGGAACAGGGCUUGGGCUCGUACCUGAAUUCUGGCAAGCACUGGAUUGCAUCUGGCCAAACGCUUUUGCAGGCGUCUCAACAAGAUCUAGAGAAGGAACUUGGAAUCAAGCAUUCACUUCAUCGAAAGAAACUCCAGCUAGCACUCCAAGCCCUGGGAUCUGAAGAAGAAACCAAUCAUGGGAAGCUGGAUUUCAACUGGGUCACUAGAUGGUUGGAUGACAUUGGCCUCCCUCAAUAUAAGACCCAG